rnacentral:SRP_RNA from 1 species
CUCGCCAACCCGGUCAGGUCCGGAAGGAAGCAGCCGUAACGAGUUUUAUUCGGGUCGUUGUCAAUCUCUCACCA